GGAUAGGAGAGAGAGAGGGGUAAGUAGCCAGGGGGUGAAAAGAGAGAGAGAGAGGUAAGUAGCCAGGGGGAAAGGACAGAGAGAGGUAAGUAGCCAGGGGGAGAAGAGAGAGAGAGAGGUAAGUAGCCAGGGGGUAAAGACAGAGAGAGAGAGAGAGGUAAGUAGCCCGGGGGAGAAGAGAGAGAGAGGUAAGUAGCCAGGGGGAAAAAGACAGAGAGAGAGAGAGAGGUAAGUAGCCAGGGGGAAAAAGACAGAGAGAGAGAGAGGUAAGUAGCCAGGGGGUGAAAAGAGAAAGAGAGAGGUAAGUAGCCAGGGGGAAAAAGAGAGAGAGAGAGAGGUAAGUAGCCAGGGGGAAAAGAGAGAGAGAGAGGUAAGUAGCCAGGGGGAAAGAGAGAGAGAGAGAGAGGUAAGUAGCCAGGGGGGAAAAGAGAGAGAGAGAGAGGUAAGUAGCCAGGGGGGAAAAGACAGACAGAGAGAGGUAAGUAGCCAGGGGGAAAGAGAGAGAGAGAGAGAGAGG
ensembl:lncRNA